GUGGGGAAUAUUGGACAAUGGGCGCAAGCCUGAUCCAGCCAUGCCGCGUGAGUGAAGAAGGCCCUCGGGUUGUAAAGCUCUUUUGUCCGGAAAGAAAAGCGCCGGGUUAAUACCCUGGUGUCCUGACGGUACCGGAAGAAUAAGCACCGGCUAACUUCGUGCCAGCAGCCGCGGUAAUACGAAGGGUGCAAGCGUUACUCGGAAUUACUGGGCGUAAAGCGUGCGUAGGUGGUUCGUUAAGUCUGAUGUGAAAGCCCUGGGCUCAACCUGGGAAUUGCAUUGGAUACUGGCGGGCUAGAGUGCGGUAGAGGGUAGUGGAAUUCCCGGUGUAGCAGUGAAAUGCGUAGAGAUCGGGAGGAACAUCCGUGGCGAAGGCGACUACCUGGACCAGCACUGACACUGAGGCACGAAAGCGUGGGGAGCAAACAGGAUUAGAAACCCGAGUAGUCC
rnacentral:rRNA from 1 species